rnacentral:rRNA from 1 species
UGCAGAAUCCCGUGAACCAUCGAGUCUUUGAACGCAAGUUGCGCCCGAAGCCAUCAGGCCUAGGGCACGUCUGCCUGGGCGUC